ACUGGAAAGAGUUGGGAACAACUAUCAUCAGCAGAGGACACAAGGACCAGACACUCUUCACCUUGGCACCAAGAAAGUGAGAAGGUGGUUGACCUAUGGCUACUGUUUGUCUGCAGAAAGCUUGUUUCAUUGAUGCCAACAGAGAAGUGAAAGUCUUUAAAACCAGCAUCUUUGUGC
rnacentral:lncRNA from 1 species